rnacentral:rRNA from 1 species
AACGAACGCUGGCGGCAGGCUUAACACAUGCAAGUCGAGCGCCCCGCAAGGGGAGCGGCGCACGGGUGCCUAACGCGUGGGAAUAUGCCUCUCAGUUCGGAACAACACCGGGAAACUGGUGCUAAUACCGGAUACACCACUCAGCUAUGGACGCUGAAUGGGAAAGAUUUAUCGCUGAGAGAUUAGCCCGCGUAGGAUUAGCCAGUUGGUGAGGUAACGGCUCACCAAGGCUACGAUCCUUAGCUGGUCUGAGAGGACGAUCAGCCACACUGGAACUGAGACACGGACCAGAUACCUACGGGGGGCAGCAGUUGGAAUGUUGGACAAUGGGGGAAACCCUGAUCCAGCCAUGCCGCGUGAGUGAUGAAGGCCUUCGGGUUGUAAAGCUCUUUUGGGUGGGACGAUGAUGACGGUACCACCAGAAUAAGCCCCGGCAAACUUCGUGCCAGCCGCCGCCGUAA